rnacentral:rRNA from 1 species
AGCAGUGGCGGCGUGCUAUACAUGCAGUCGAGCGGACGGAUGGGAGCUUGCUCCCUGAAGUCAGCGGCGGACGGGUGAGUAACACGUGGGCAACCUGCCUGUAAGACUGGGAUAACUCCGGGAAACCGGGGCUAAUACCGGAUAACUCUUUUCCUCACAUGAGGAAAAGCUGAAAGAUGGUUUCGGCUAUCACUUACAGAUGGGCCCGCGGCGCAUUAGCUAGUUGGUGAGGUAACGGCUCACCAAGGCCACGAUGCGUAGCCGACCUGAGAGGGUGAUCGGCCACACUGGGACUGAGACACGGCCCAGACUCCUACGGGAGGCAGCAGUAGGGAAUCUUCCGCAAUGGACGAAAGUCUGACGGAGCAACGCCGCGUGAGUGAUGAAGGUUUUCGGAUCGUAAAACUCUGUUGUCAGGGAAGAACAAGUACCGGAGUAACUGCCGGUACCUUGACGGUACCUGACCAGAAAGCCACGGCUAACUACGUGCCAGCAGCCGCGGUAAU